ensembl:lncRNA
GGCUGGUGUCAGUGAUGAUAUCUGCAAGGAUGGAAAGUCCCCACUGGGACUGCUUGUAUGUACUCUCCUGAAAUACUGGAUUCAGUGGUGCCAGCUUAAUGGCCAGGAGAAGUUUUGUACCAAGAACUAACCGAUCAGUGUUUUUUUUUUUAAACAGGGUCUGGUUCUGUCACCCAUGCUGGAGUGCAGUGGUACAGUCUUGGCUCACUGCAGCUUUGGCCCCGUGGGCUCAAGUGAUCCUCCCACCUCAGCCUCCUGACUAGCUGGGACUUCAGGCAUGUGCCACCAAGCCCAGCUACUUUUUGUAGUUUUUGCAGAGACAAGUUUCGCCAUGCUGUCCAGGCCAUAUGCUGCUGGUGAGCGUGGUGGGAUGUGUUUAUGUUGGAUACAACCUGGAGCCCUGCACCGGAGCAUCUCACUACCAGGAGAACUGGUGUGGUGGAGGAGAGAAGCGUGAAGCCAUUUCUAUCCCAGCACACCCAGCGUGGCCUGAAAUGGCAGCAACCAGAGAACCUGGGAAACCUCACACUGAGGUGCUCAGAGCUCCUGGCCACCUGGAUCUGCCACUACCUGCAACUGCUGGCCCGGAGGCUUUUGCUGAACUGGGACGGAGACAUAACCUUGUUUUUUCAGCUGAUGGAUUAUGGGGUCUCUCCGUUAUUGCAGCUUAGCCUACUGAGGUCACAGAGAUAUUUUCUGUUUUCUUCCAAGCAUUUGAAGUAUUGCUUCUUACAUUUGGGUCUUUAAUCUGCCUGGAGUUGAUUCUCAUUAUGGUCAAAAAUUAUACUUUUAAAAAACGGAUUACCAACUGUUCCAGUACCCAAUAUUUUUCUUUUUUUCCCCCAGAAGAAUGAGGCCCAGAGAGGUUAAGACAUUUUAUCAAGAUCACACAGCUGAUUAGUGAAUUAUAGGUUGUAUGGAGAGCUGGCAUUUAUAAUAUUCUUCCCCAAAGCCUUACAAAGCAGGAAUUAUCGUUAGUAUUUCAUUUUACAUAGAAGAAAACCAAUGCCAUACUGACAAGGUGAGCAAGUCAUCUCCAUGCCGUGGCUCCUCCUGUUGUGCCCUUUUACUGUGUGACCAUGCCAUGGACAGAUAAUUAAACCUAAUCGAAUCUAGUAAGUAUUUAUUAAGCACCUCCCAUAUGCAAAGCUCUGUGAUAAGUGCUGCAGGCACGCCAAGGUGAGUAAAACACAGGGACACAGCCACUGAUCCAGGGACCUUAGAAUCUGGUCAGGAGUAAGGGAGAGGCACUUCGGACUUUGAGAGAGAAAAAGAAGCUAUGGGGUUUGGGAUGUGUGUGUGAGGACAUGUUCUGCUCAAGGGAUGAAGAAAGUUCUUGUGAUGUUUGAGAGCCCAUCAGGCAGUCUGGGGGAAGAGUUUCCUGGGGCAAGGAACUGUUUGAACAAAAGCAUACAGGCUGGGUUGGGUGCAGUACUCCUGGCACUGUAAUUACACAUGUAAUCCCAGUACUUUGGGAGGCCAAGGUGGGUGGAUCACCUGAGGUCAGGAGUUCAAGACCAGCCUGGCCAACAUGGUGAAACCCUGUCUCUACUAAAAUAUAAAAAUUAGCUGGGUGUGGUGGCACCCGCCUGUAGUCCCAGCUACUUGGGAGGCUGAGGCAGGAGAAUCACUUGAACCCAGGAGGCGGAGGUAACAGUGAGCCAAGAUCACACCACUGCACUCCAGCCUGGGUGACAAAACAAGACUCCAUCUAAAAAAAAAAGAAAAAAAGAAAAGAAAAGAAAAAGAAAAAAGAAAGAAAAGCACACAGGCUGGAAAGCACAAGGCAUGCUUAGGGUACAGGCAGGAGUUGAGUUUGAUUGGAGCGAGGUUGGGUGAGGGGCUGUGGGAGGUGAAGCUGGACUGGACCCAGCUGCAUCUACCAUCCAGCUAUUUCUAUGAAAUAGCAGUAAUGGCGACCAGGUAUGUGGGCACCUCAGGUUACAGGGAUUGCAGGUAAAAAACGUGUGGGAGUCAGUAAAAUCAUUUUUGCUUCAAUCACCUUUUACAAUGUUAGUAAAAAGUCUAUAUCACUGUAUUUGGGUAGGGUUUUUGAACUUUAUAGAACCUUAUAUGAAAAGCAAUUCAGGAGGUAGCAAAAGACGUUAUCAUCUUAGGAGUCCUUUCCCAGAGCCACCAUCACGUCUUGUGGAGCUGGCAUUGUGUGUGUCCAUUCACAGACCCUGAGAGACAUGGCUACAUCUCAAGCUUACCAUCAGUUCCUUUCAGCAGAAUUUCAUAGCUCUCUGAAUUUCUCCACCAUCUUGUACUUAUAAACUCUGUAACUUGACUGGUAUUCUUCAGAAAAAGCCUUCUUCAUUGUUAGGCCCCCAAAGCCUGUGUCCCCUGCCGGGCACAGGACAGGUGCUCACACACAUUUGGGGAAUGAGUAGCAGAUGUUAGGAGGGACUAAGGAAUGAAUUCCUCAAUGCUGCAUGUGGUGACUGCUGUGGGGCAGCUGUGCACAGGACAGGCAAGACAGGGUACCCACGUGACUGCCCGAUGCUGACGUGGCAGGAGGCUGGAAAGAAUUCCUGAAACUCUUUUGUUUAUUUGUUCAUUUAUUUAUUUAUUUAUUUGAGAUGGAGUCUCACUUUGUUACCCAGGCUGGAGUGCAAUGGUGUGAUCUUGGCUUACUGCAACCUCUGCCUUACGGGUUCAAGCGAUUCUCCUGCCUCAGCCUCUCGAGUAGCUAGAAUUACAGGUGCUCGCCACCAUGCCCAGCUAAUUUUUGUAUUUUUAGUAGAGACGGGAUUUCACCAUGUUGGCCAGGCUGGUCUUGAACUCCUGACCUCAGGUGAUUUGCCUGCCUCGGCCUCCCAAAGUGCUGGGGUUACAGGCAUGAGCCACUGCCCCCGGCUGAGUUUCUGAAACUCGGCAUUAAUUCCGAUCCACACCCAGGUGCUGUCACAGACAAUUGGCCUAUACAACAUAGAGGUUUAUUUCUCUUUCAUGUCAAAGUCUGAGGCAGUCUGCAGCUUGGCUUGCUAGAGUUUUCAGAGACCUAGGCUCCUUGUACUCUGUGACUCUGCCAUCCUGGGGGGUGUCGCCUUACCCACAAAUUGCUCCAUCACAUCCACAUUCUAGGCAAAAAGAACGGGGAGAGGAGGAAGGGAAGGACAUGAUCCUUGUAUUAAGGGCACACCUUGGAGGUGCACAUAUGUCUUCUGCUCACACCCAGUUAGCCAGAACCUAGUCAUAUGGCUACGCCUCGCUGCAAAGGAAGACGGGAGAUGUGUACUUUUGUUCUGGAUGGCCAGUACCAAUUAAAUGAUCCAAGUUAUGGAUUAUUCCACAGAAAGGGAGAAUAAAUAUCUGUGAACAACUUGCCAUUUCCCCCACAAGCUGAUUUUACCUAAUGUAGUUCAGAUGCAUGUACCCAAGUAGGCAGAGAGGCAGAUGGUCUAGUCUGGUUGGAUAGAAAGGAUUUACUUGAAUACCUGUUUCAGUGUUGGGAAAAAGUCACAGCCUGCAAUGCACCAAAAGUAGCAUUGUCUUCAAAUACAAAGAUCAGUGGCUGUUCUUGUUAGUUUGGUUUGGUCGUUAUGAAUCUUCCAGCACCUCCCAAGAGUAAAGGAAAUGGUCAGUCGCAUAUGCUGGUGCAUCACGACCUUAAGAGCAAUAGUGACCUGAAGGAGGAGAAACAGCGUUUUGGAACUCGUGUAAGUGUAUGAUUCGACGUAUUCCUUUUUAAGUAAUUGGCGCUCUCAUGACAUUUUUUACUUGGGGGGCACAGCACAACCAGUAUUGGUAGUUGUCUACCAAAUCUGGUCUUCUCUUCCUCCCAGGUAUAUGACUAGCUACGAUUCCACAUGGUGGAAUUUCAUGCUACCAUUAAAAAUGUACACUGUUGAAGAAAAUGUAUUGAAGUAGGGAAAUGCUCACAAUAUAAUAAUAAGUGCAACAAAGGAGAAUAUUCAGGGGCCUGUAGGCCUUCUGUGAGCUGAGUCUCUCCAACCCCCUACUCUGACCUCAUUUCCGACCACAUUGCCCCUUAUUCACUCCACUC